rnacentral:rRNA from 1 species
GUUGAACGCUGGCGGCAGGCCUAACACAUGCAAGUCGAACGAGUGGCGGACGGGGGAGUAAUGUCUGGGAAACUGCCCGAUGGAGGGGGAUAACUACUGGAAACGGUAGCUAAUACCGCAUACAAUCGGAUGUGCCCAGAUGGUGUUAGCUAGUAGGUGGGGUAACGGCGCACCUAGGCGACGAUCCCUAGCUGGUCUGAGAGGAUGACGAGCCACACUGGAUCUGAGACAAGGCCCAGACUCCUACGGAAGGCAGCAGUGGGGAAUAUUUCCCAAUGGGCGCAAGCCUGAUGCAGCCAUGCCGCGUAUAUGAAGAAGGCCUUCGGGUUGUAAAGUACUUUUAGCGAGGAGGCGUUACUCGAAGAAGAAGCACCGGCUAACUCCGUGCCAGCAGCCGCGGUAAUAC